AGUUCAGACCCUUGAUCUGGAGUUCAGACCCUUAAUCUGGAGUUCAGACCCUUGAUCUGGAGUUCAGACCCUUAAUCUGGAGUUCAGACCCUUAAGCUGGAGUUCAGACCCUUAAGCUGGAGUUCAGACCCUUAAUCUGGAGUUCAGACCCUUGAUCUGGAGUUCAGACCCUUAAUCUGGAGUUCAGACCCUUGAUCUGGAGUUCAGACCCUUAAUCUGGAGUUCAGACCCUUGAUCUGGAGUUCAGACCCUUAAUCUGGAGUUCAGACCCUUAAGCUGGAGUUCAGACCCUUUAUCUGGAGUUCAGACCCUUAAUCUAGAGUUCAGACCCUUGAUCUGGAGUUCAGACCCUUAAUCUGGAGUUCAGACCCUUAAGCUGGAGUUCAGACCCUUAAGCUGGAGUUCAGACCCUUAAUCUGGGAUUAAUACCCUUAAUCUGGAGUUCAGACCCUUAAUCUGGAGUUCAGACCCUUGAUCUGGAGUUCAGACCCUUAAUCUGGAGUUCAGUCCCUUAAUCUGGAGUUCAGACCCUUAAUCUGGAGUUCAGACCCUUUAUCUGGAGUUCAGACCCUUAAUCUGGAGUUCAGACCCUUAAUCUGGAGUUCAGACCCUCAAUCUGGAGUUCAGACCCUUAAUCUGGAGUUCAGACCCUUAAUCUGGAGUUCAGACCCUUAAUCUGGAGUUCAGACCCUUAAUCUGGAGUUCAGACCCUUAAUCUGGAGUUCAGACCCUUAAUCUGGAGUUCAGACCCUAAAUCUGGAGUUCAGACCCUUAAUCUGGAGUUCAGACCCUUAAUUUGGAGUUCAGACCCUUAAUCUGGAGUUCAGACCCUUAAUCUGGAGUUCAGACCCUUAAUUUGGAGUUCAGACCCUUAAUCUGGAGUUCAGACCCUUAAUCUGGAGUUCAGACCCUUAAUUUGGAGUUCAGACCCUUAAUCUGGAGUUCAGACCCUUAAUCUGGAGUUCAGACCCUUAACCUGGAGUUCAGACCCUUAAUCUGGAGUUCAGACCCUUUAUCUGGAGUUCAGACCCUUAACCUGGAGUUCAGACCCUUAAUCUGGAGUUCAGACCCUUAAUCUGGAGUUCAGACCCUUAAUCUGGAGUUCAGACCCUUUAUCUGGAGUUCAGACCCUUAAUUUGGAGUUCAGACCCUUAAUUUGGAGUUCAGACCCUUAAUCUGGAGUUCAGACCCUUAAUCUGGAGUUCAGACCCUUAAUUUGGAGUUCAGACCCUUAAUUUGGAGUUCAGACCCUUAAUCUGGAGUUCAGACCCUUAAUCUGGAGUUCAUACCCGUAAUCAGAGUAAUCACUGAGUUUCUGACAAUGUUUGAGGCUCCGUAGCAUCCAUAACUGGAAAACGUUUUUAAUGAUAAAGAUAUGUACACACACUAUGGUUUAUUCGAAUCCCAACCAGACUCCAUACUAAUAUUUAUAAUUGGAAACUUUUAGUUUUGUUAUUAUAGCUAUUAUAGCUGUGUUAGUUACUUGCCUAGUUAGUAACUUGGUAGUAACUUGAAGUUACUACCCGUACCCUAUGAUUACAUGGCCGCUACCCUAUCAUUAUAUCAUUCAUAAUUUGCCCUGUACUACGAUUAUAGUUUACCAAUAUACCCGUAUACUAUUGAUAGUGAAUAGCAUGAUAAUAUCACAGUAGUAGAUUUACCUGCUGCCUGAGGCUAGGUGAGCAUACUAAUGAUAUUAGUAUAUAGAUAGUAUAUAGAGAUCAGUAUCUCCCUGUGUGAGAACCACCGUAGCGGAUCCCUCAUAUUGGAUAUUAGAUUGGAUCUGGGAUUGGGUCCCUUAUUUUGAAGCUGUACGGCUUGAUUACUGAUGGAGUUGUGCUUGUAACUGCAAUAAUUGGGUACUUCGAGUAUUUUAUUCGAGCUGAAAUCGUUUUGUAAAGUUAGCUUUUGCAUGUUUUUGAAUUAGUUCAUAAUUAUUGUUUGAAA